GAGCAAAAGCAUACAUAUAUGACAACAUAAAAGGAAUCUUUGGAAGCUAAUAGAAUAGAUCAGACAGUUUUAUUAUAACCGUUUAACCGUUCAGUACACAAUUUAACACGAGUUCUCUGAAAGAUUUGACAAUUUUGUGAUGAAUGCAAAAUUUAUUCUCAUCCCAAUUUUUCUAAUUGGAUCAUGUGUGGCUCAGAAAGACGCGGAUGAUUUACUGAAUGAUGUACUGAAUGAUGUUUUUCCAAGAGAAUCGAAUUUUGAAACUAUAGACCAUCCUGUUACAACAGUUGCACAAAAAAACAUACCACGACAACUAACGGGCAACUCAUUUCAGCCAUGUGGUACACGUCCUGAUAUGGUAUGUGUUCGUAAGUAUCUUUGCAAAAAUGGAAAAGUGAACAUAUAUGGUACAUACUUGAUUGAACCUCGCAUGGGUUCUGAAUGUAAUUCUAUUUUGGAAAAAUGCUGUGAUAUUAGUGAAAUAUUAGAUGAGCCAAUUUUAAACCCAAUCCCAAUAACCAGGGGCGAAGCGAGGGUCCAAGCCAUGUGGGGUGAGAUUCAGUGAAAUGCCGACCCAUUUUGUGAAUUUGCCGACUGUAUCCCAUUUUUUUUUUAAACAAUUGAGAAAAGAAAUAAAACUAUAGUUUUCACGA